GUAAGCUCUUGUAAACUAUGGUAGAGCAAAGGACUGAAAAUCCUUGUGCCGGCGGUCCGAUUCCGUCUAUGUCCA
rnacentral:tRNA from 1 species